UCUUUUUACAAUGUAUGUAUAUUUUUUGAAUAUUAACAAGUAAGCGUCAAAUGCAAACAUAUUUUAAAGUAAAUUUAUUUUAGUACUUACAUUCCUUAGUUUCUUUAACGAAUUAAUUUAAGCAAACGCAAGAUACUAACUUACGAAAGUGCAUGCAGAACAGGCCCGUAGGAACAAAAAUUAUAUGGGGGGGGGGGCAAUACUACUGGGUAGGUCAAAUAGUAGUAGGUCAAAUAAAAUUUUAAAGAAACUUACGCCAAAAAUACAGAUAACAAAUAACAUGUUUUUUUCCUUUAUAUUUGUUGUUUGCUUUUUUCUAAAAACUACAAAAUUAUAUAUUUGAAAAAAUAUUAGGAGGGGGGGGGAAACAUAAUUUAAAAAAUAAUAUUAGUUAUUCUAGAGCAAAGAUAACCAACAAUAUGGAGAAUCACUCAAUUUUCACUAAACUUCAAUAAUCACUUAAUGAGUAACCAUAUUGUUUGCGAACAAGGUUGAGUGACUCAUUCAACCUUGUUCAGUUUUUUGCAAAAAAAUAAUUUUAUUCUUUUUUUAUACAUUUUUUAUACCAAUGGAAAUUUUUACAUUUUUCAAAAACAGCUGUAGUUCUUUAAUUGACGCGAAAGCUAUUUUGAGCGAUGUAAUUGCGUCUUAAACGCGUUAGGAUUAUUACACCGCAAAAAUGGUUAGCAGACGUUAACAUCCCUCAAAAGUAUGUCGAUAAAAUCGUUUACCGUAUUUACCGUUCUUGAUUUAAAAUUUUGCGGCUAAUUUAAAUCAAAAAUAAAUCAGGCGCAUUUUGUUCACAUAAAUAAAGGAAAGGAAGAUAAAUAGAUCGCACUAAUAAAGAAAAGAAAGAUAUAUAGGUUUAUAGUUUAGAAAUAAAAUUACUUGAAAGUGGUUCAUUUAAUUAUUAUUAAAAGAUUUCCAUAGUCCUGUUUUUUUUAUUAAAAAUUUUCUGUUUGCAACCAAUGACCCUGAAAAGAACCCUGCACUUUAUUUACAAAUCAUCUGAUGAUUGUUCACUGCUUACUGCAUUUUUUUUUUACUAUCCAAAAAAUUAGAGAGAAAAAAAAUCGGCAGCCAAUUUAACAGUUUAACGGACACACUGCUUUUCUAUUGAGCGUAUUGGUGGUAAGAAUCUUGGUGACUCCAUCGGAAAUCUAACCGAAAAUUUGAUAAAAAAUCGAAUACGUGUAUAAAUAGCGUUUGCAAAAGAUUCAAAUGCGAGAUGAUUAUUUUCUGUGGUUGUCUUUAUAUGUGUUAGGCAUGCACUUCUCGAUACAACAACAACAUUCUAACAAACAUUCGUAACCAAUGCGUAUUCUAGAAUUUUUUAAAUACGCGGUUAAUUUCACGAAAACCUCAUCGAAUACUAUCGGGUUUCUGUGUUAUAUGAGUAUUGCAUUCAAAAUAAACAAACGUACUGAAAAAUUCAAAAAAUAAAUAUGACUACAACUCGUUCCAAAAAAUAUUAUAGCCACGGACAAGAAAUAUGUCGUAUUCAGAGUAAAAUUAAAUACAUUUUUGAUCUUGCAGUCGAAGAUAAAAAAAUUUUCUUAAUUAUUUUAAGUAGCACGGCAAACUCUUCAUGCCUCGGACAAAAAAAAAAAAAAAAAAAAAAGCUUUGACCUUUGCUUUAGACGACUUAAGAAAAAAAAUCUCUUUACGUUACACUUCCUUCAUAAGCAAACAGAUGACGUCUUUUCGAUGAUUUUCAAUCAAAUUACGUUCAAAAGACGUCAUGUCAAUAAAGCACUGCCGUAUGAGAAAGCUAAAGACGUUCACUUUACCUUCAUGAGCUAUGGAGCAAUUCCACAUGCCUAUAUUUUUUGCUAUAUCGAGGAAAUGUAGUUUAAUAAUAUCCAUGAGUAUAAAAAUUUUUUAAAAUUUAUAUUAAUUUGGU